AUGCAUUCAAAGAGUGCGUAACAGCUCACUGGUCGAGUGGACAUGCGCCGACAAUUCACGGGGCUAAGCGAUGCGCCGAAGCGGCGGAAUGUAUAUACAUUGGUAGGGGAGCUUCCCCUGCGCGGCGAAGCCGGAGGGCGACCGACGGUGGAGCGCAGGGGAGUGAGGAUGCUGGCAUGAGUAACGAGAGCGGCGCGGGAAACGCCGCCGCCGUAAGCCCAAGGUUUCCUGGGCAAGGCUAAUCCUCCCAGGGUCAGUCGGGAGCUAAGGUGAGGCCGGAAGGCGUAGCCGAUGCGCAACAGGCGGACAUUCCUGUACCGCCUCGGGACCGCUACGACCGAAGGGGCGACGGAGAAGGGUACGCAGGCGGGGUUCUGGACGCCCCCGUGAAAGCAUGUAGGCCGCAGGGCAGGCAAAUCCGCCCUGCGCACAAGGCCGAGACGCGAGACGAAGCCGCAUGGCGAAGCUGCGGAGCCCACGCUCCCUGGAAAAACCCCUAGGCAGGGCCCGAGGCGCCCGUACCAAAACCGACACAGGUGGGCGGGUAGAGCAUACCGAGGCGAUCGGGGGAACCAUGGUCAAGGAACUCGGCAUAAUCGCUCCGUAACUUCGGGAGAAGGAGUGCCGCUGCAGGUGGAGGGACUUUGCUCCCCGAGCCCGCGGCGGCCGCAGCGAAACGGCCCAAGCGACUGUUUACCAAAAACACAGGACUCUGCCAACCCGCGAGGGGAAGUAUAGGGUCUGACGCCUGCCCGGUGCCGGAAGGUUACGCGGAUGCGUUAGCGAAAGCGAAGCGCUGAAGCCAAGCCCCGGUAAACGGCGGCCGUAACUAUAACGGUCCUAAGGUAGCGAAAUUCCUUGUCGGGUAAGUUCCGACCUGCACGAACGGCGUAACGACUUGGGCGCUGUCUCGACCAUGGACCCGGUGAAAUUGCACUAUUCGUGAAGAUGCGAAUUACCUGCGGAAGGACGGAAAGACCCCGUGAACCUUCACUGCAGCUUGGCAUUGGCCGUUGGCUCGGCGCGUAGAGGAUAGGCAGGAGGCAUCGAAACCGGGGCGCCAGCCCCGGCGGAGCCGCCCUUGGAAUACUGCCCCCUCCGUUCCGGCGGCCUAACGCGGCGCCUUUCAUCAGGGCCGCGGACCGUGCCAGGCGGGUAGUUUGACUGGGGCGGUCGCCUCCCAAAGAGUAACGGAGGCGCGCAAAGGUUGGCUCAGGACGGUCGGCAACCGUCCCGAGAGCGCAAGAGUGCAAGCCAGCUUGACUGCGAGGCGGACGGGCCGAGCAGGUGCGAAAGCAGGCUCUAGUGAUCCGGCGGCCCAGAGUGGAAUGGCCGUCGCUCAACGGAUAAAAGGUACUCCGGGGAUAACAGGCUGAUCUUGCCCA
rnacentral:rRNA from 1 species